CGGCUGACGGGUGAGUAAUGCCUAGGAAUCUGCCUGGUAGUGGGGGACAACGUUUCGAAAGGAACGCUAAUACCGCAUACGUCCUACGGGAGAAAGUGGGGGAUCUUCGGACCUCACGCUAUCAGAUGAGCCUAGGUCGGAUUAGCUAGUUGGUGGGGUAACGGCUCACCAAGGCGACGAUCCGUAACUGGUCUGAGAGGAUGAUCAGUCACACUGGAACUGAGACACGGUCCAG
rnacentral:rRNA from 1 species